GAGAAGACUUUAGAUAUGAUCCAGAGUACCACGGGACACGUGAAACCCUGUGGGAAGCAGGAGGGACCACCCUCCAAGGCUAAAUACUACCUAGUGACCGAUAGCGUAUAGUACCGUGAGGGAAAGGGGAAAAGAACCCCGGGAGGGGAGUGAAAUAGAACCUGAAACCCUGCACUUACAAGCUGUGGAAGCACAUUUCUUGUGUGACCGCGUACUUUUUGUAG
rnacentral:rRNA from 1 species